rnacentral:rRNA from 1 species
UACAGAGGUGGCAAGCGUUGUUCGGAAUUACUGGGCGUAAAGGGCGUGUAGGCGGUCUUCUAAGUCAGACGUGAAAUCCCCCGGCUUAACCUGGGAACUGCGUCUGAUACUGGGAGGCUUGAAUAUGGGAGAGGGAUGUAGAAUUCCAGGUGUAGCGGUGAGAUGCGUAGAUAUCUGGAGGAAUACCGGUGGUGUAGACGGCUCACUGGACCAUAACUGACGCUGAGACACGAAAAGCGUGGG